rnacentral:misc_RNA from 1 species
GUUGCAUUCCAGGCUGUUGCCUAUCGCAAAAAUAAUGACAUCAAAUGGUUUGGAAUGGAUAAUUCUCCAGAACAAAAGAAUAACCCUGUAAAAAGCAGGAAACAAGUAGAUCUGCAAGGCAGAAAAUUACUCUGCUGACAGGUCCUGUCAAAGAACAUCUUUCUUCCAAUGUAGUAAGAUUAACAACAUAUUUGUGCUCUGGACAUAAC